rnacentral:rRNA from 1 species
UACGUAGGGGGCAAGCGUUGUCCGGAAUUAUUGGGCGUAAAGAGCUCGUAGGCGGUUUGUCGCGUCGGCCGUGAAAUCUCCACGCUUAACGUGGAGCGUGCGGUCGAUACGGGCGGGCUAGAGUUCGGUAGGGGAGACUGGAAUUCCUGGUGUAGCGGUGAAAUGCGCAGAUAUCAGGAGGAACACCGGUGGCGAAGGCGGGUCUCUGGGCCGUAACUGACGCUGAGGAGCGAAAGCAUGGGGAGCGAACAGG